AUGGGCAAGAAGCGGAAGCUCGAGCCGAAAUCCACCUUGGCAGCAAACUCCCCCGCCGCUAAGGCUCCAGCUGCCGCAAAGAUCGCCGAGCCGGCAGCUGCUCCCCCCCAGCCCGAAACCCUAGCCGAGUACUACCCCACUUCCUCCCAAACCGUGGCCCAGGAGAGCGGGUCCAUCGCUGGGGGCGCGGCGGUGAAGCAGGAGGUGGGCGGCGAGGAGGACGAGUGGGAGGAGGUGGAAGAGGAGGAGGAAGAGGAGGUCGAGGAGGAAGAACAGCAGCAGGCCGAGGAGGGCGACAGCGACCCCGCCUCGAUCCAGGCGCUACUGGAGGUGUUCCCCAAGGAGCAGCUCGUCGAGCUGCUCCGCGACGCCGCCGUCCGCCACGGCGACGUGCUCGAGUCCGUCCGCCGAGCGGCCGACGCGGAUCCAGCCCAGCGGAAGAUCUUCGUCCACGGCCUCGGAUGGGACACCACCGUGGACAUCCUCACCGAGGCUUUCCGCCCUUAUGGUGAGAUCGAGGAUCUCAAGCUCGUCUCAGACCGUAACACGGGCAAGUGCAAGGGCUACGGGUUCAUCCUCUUCAGCCGCCUUUCUGGCGCCCGCGCGGCCCUGCUGGAGCCCCAGAAGAAGAUCGGCAACCGCACUACCUCCUGCCAGCUUGCUUCUUUGGGCCCUGUCCCACCUGGCGGUGCGGCCAACAAUCCUAUGUUGGCUACAGCUCCAGCUCCGGCUCCAGCAGCCUUGAUACUACCGCCAGUUUCUGAGUACACACAGCGGAAGAUUUUUGUUAGCAAUGUUGGCGCAGAUAUCGACCCACAGAAACUGCUGCAGUUCUUUUCAAAGUAUGGUGAAAUUGAGGAGGGUCCUCUUGGGCUCGACAAGGCAACCGGAAAGCCCAAGGGUUUUGCUCUGUUUGUUUACAGGACCCUUGAGAGCGCCAAGAAGGCGCUCCAGGAGCCGCACAAGUCAUUUGAGGGAGUUAUGCUGCACUGCCAGAAGGCAAUCGAUGGGCCAAAACCCAACAAAGGAGGAGGAUAUGGUGCCACAACUACAAGUGGGAGGAAGGGCGCUGCUGGCUAUGGUGCUGGUAGCCAUUCUCUGCCUGGCACUGUUGGUGCUGGUUAUGGGAUGGCAUCUCCAGCGAGCCUGGCUUCAAUGCCUGGGCCUGUACCUGGUGGUCCAGGGAUGAAUCCUGCACUGGGCCAGGCUUUAACAGCUUUCUUGGCCACCCAAGGGGGAGGGUUGGGUCUGAAUAACAUCCUUGGAGUUGGUCCUAAUAGUUCAGGGGUGCCAAAUUCAGGGUCUUCUGGAGCUCUUGGUGGUCCACCGGGAGGUCCAGGAAGAAAUUACAUGGGUCAUUAG
rnacentral:rRNA from 1 species